GAGCUGUAGUCCAUAACAUUUGGAGGGCUGCGAGUUUGACACCUAUGCGGGAGAAGUUUCAACUAUGAUGGUAAGCUGCCUUGAGCCACGAGAAAAGGCAGGCUGUAAACGUUUUACUAAAUAAAAUGUGCCCUCACUGUCUCUUCUAUUUCUAAGCAAUCCCAAGUAGAAUUCUCGGGAGGUGUGAUAAAAGCCAAAAUAAAGAGGUACAUCAGGUUGGGGGGGCUGAUCUGCAAAAGGUUCUUAGCGGAGAGAUGGAAGAAACAUCUUUUCAAAACAUUCUGUCACUGUUUCUCAGCCUUUUUUCCUUGUUUCUGUUGCCAAAGAGCACUCAAUCAAAUAAAGAUUUUGACGCA